GAAUGAAUGGGUGCCUGAAGAUAAGUUGACUAUAAGAGUUUCUAUUGUCAAAUUGGAUUUGUGGGUUCUUUGUUUUUUUUUACUAUUUUGUUUUGAUUGGUACUAGGUAUUGAUAAAAGUCAUUCUCAUAAACCAGAUCCGAGAAACCCCAGUGCUCCUGCUUUAUGGCUGGGUUGCUACUGUCAUGUUUCUUCAGUUUUUGACAGAAGUAAAGCACAUUUGUUAGUGAAGGAAUUGUCUGAUUGUUUAUUUUAAAUCUUUCGUAGUAUAGGAAAAACGGUACUCUCUGCUGGUACUCAUUUUCAUGCAGUGGUGGUGACACGCUGAUCUCUCAUAGCAAAGGGCGCUUAUUCUAAAACGGGUGAAAUGUUGUGCUCAUUAGGCCAGAAGCAGUCUCAGCUGAUCUUUCUGCCAUUCUCUCUCUCUCUGUUUUCUUAGAAAGGUAGUGCCAUUGUUAAGUGUGACUUUUUCUCCCAUCCCCCUAGCAACUGUCCUAUCUGAGUUGACAGUGGCGCCUGCUGCCAGUUGCCUUCAGCUGGACAUCAGGGCUGGGGAGAACUUUUACUGGGGUCUCAUGCCUCUUCUUUUCUCCUGCUCUAAGACCGUGAGUCCUUUGAAGGCAAGGACACUGUGUCUUCUACCUCUGUGGUCCCAGCGCCUUGAUCAGAGCCUGCCACAAAGUAGGUUCUUCAGUUAAUGGUUCUUGAAUGAAGGAAAGAAUGAAGCAUGGUCACUCAUUCCUGGCUCAGGUCUACACAAUAAGAGCGUAUGAGGUGGAAAGGUUGUGGGCCACCAUUGGGCACAACAUUGGCAUGAGCGGCCUUGUCCCAAAAGGGUUUGGAAUAUGCCCGUUACCCUCCUAACCACCUUAAAGCACUAAUAUUUUGGUUAUAACUGAACUAUCACAUGCCCUCCUGGGAAUAUGCUCUAAAAGCCAUCUGAAUUAAUCAGAAACGUUUCACCUUUUCUAGAAAGGAAUCCGGUUCUGUAUUAUUAGCUUUUCCUUGGGGACGAGGUUUAAGGUGGCUGUCUAGAAACCAGAACAGACCUCUGUUAUUCUCUUCUGCGAGUUCAGAGGAUUGUCUGUGGAGGCAUGAUAGACUAUACAGGGGUCCCGGAACAGAUCUGAACAUAAAAUAUGAGGCCUGUCUCUUUAAAGUGCAAUUUCUUUCUUAUUCAGGGGUGGGUUAUCUGAUUCUGUGUCCACCCAUGGUGACCGGGCUUUAAAGUUUGCUGGUUUGGGCCCAGAUUUGAACACAUUACUUCCACUAGUACAAAGAUGUUCUUAGAGUGGGAACUUUUGUCUAUUUUCUCCUGUCUAAAGGGAGAUUUGAGACGGAUCAAACCUACUGCCUGAAAAAUGGUGGUUUCUUCUCACAUUGGGUGAUACGAAACAUUAUGGAGGAAGGAUGAGGCACCUUCUGCAUUUAUCCGUGUGGCUCGAAGUUAAUUUCCAGAAUAUUAGCAGAUCCUACUGUUAAUUCUAAUGAAGGAUAACGUGAGAGUUUCCUAAGGUAUCUGAGGGGAUCCUGGUGACCUAAGUAAGUGUUACUCUAAAAACAGUUUCUGUGGUCAAACAAGUCUGAGGAACACUGAGUGUACAGAGUUCUCCAGGUCUGUACGUUGCCGUGUGCCCUGAUUAUGUUUUCCCAAGCCCUGCUCGCUGUGGAGCCUUUCACCCUUGAAUCCUGGGCAAACGCACUUCAGGAAAUACUGCCUGAUCCCUUGGCUGGGUGCAUGACCUUAAGUUUAUUAUUUACUCCCUUAAAUUGGUACAAAAGAUCUCAAUUUCCUACAUUCCGUUUUUCCUCCUCCUUUUUGAGAAAAGGCAUGGGUGCUCUUGCAACACAUACUCUCCGCAUACUUAGUUGGUCCUUGCAGAGUGUACUCAUGUUAUUGUUUAUGAUUCAGUUCCCUCAUCCUAGAUUGGAAGCUUGGUGAGGGCACCGUUGUGCCUUGUGCAUCUUAAAAUUCAGCCCCUAACCCAGGUCCCUGCACACAGUGAGAGCUCAAUAAAUUUUGCCAGUGCGGCGGGGUGGGGGGGAGGCUAGGGAUGAUGACGACAAAGGUGAAGGAAGACACGAAGCGAUGCGAUGUGAUAGGAGGUCCACAGCAGUAUGAUUUUGUCCCUUUUAAAAAUUUCAGAGUUACCGAGGUGUAAGUGACGUGACCCUGUAAGAUACUGACUGUGUGCACUAUGGUGAUUGGCUACGCGGGCACGUGGUACAACAGCUCCGCUCGUCUCGUUCAGGAGCACACGCGUCACCUCACGUAUUUGUCUUUUUCUCUUCUUCUUUUGGGUGAGAUUGUUCAAGUCCUACUCUCUUAGCAAGUUUCAGUUGUACAAUACAGUGUUAGAAACUGUAGUCACCGUGUUAUACAUUAGAUCCUCAGGUCUUAUUUAUCCGAGAGCUGAAAGCUUGUGCCCUUUUACCAGCCCCUCCCUGUUUCCCCACCAUGAUUUGGUCCUGCUCACUAUCUAGAACAGGGGAUCAGCACACCGUGGCCUGUGGGCCAAGUCUAGCCUUUGCUUGUUAUCGUACAGCCCUCGAGAGCUGAACAUGGUUGUUAACAUUUUAAAGGUUUGUAAAACAAAAAAGGAAAGAAAGAAUACAAGAUGGAGAUCAUAUAUGUUCUACAAAGCCUAAAAUAUUUACCAUCUGGCCCUUUCCAGAAAAAGCGUGCUGACCCCUGGCUCACAACAGGCUCUCUGAGGUGAGGGACCGCUUUUUUGUUGUUUGUGGUUUGCAGUCCGUCGUGGGCGGGUACGUACUCCACCGCACAGGUCAGGUCAGGCUCGCAGCCGUGCUGUGGGCGAUCCCGCCCCCGGAGUUCCAUCUGAACUGUGUACGCGGCUCGGCAGAUGUGUUUCUGAUUACAUGGCAAUGUCAAAGUGCUAUAAACGUUUCUACAGCUUGCUCUUGGUUUUUGUACUUCUCUCGUAGCAGGACCAGUAACAGUUCGCGGUCCGGUAGCAGUCUGUGGACCACACUUUGUGCAGCAGGGGCUUGGUGCCCAGUAGAUGUGUGUGUGGGUGUGAGGAUAGCUGACUCACGGUGGUGUGAGGCAUGUCCUGCUCUGUGGGAGCGCACAGUACCUGUGCUGGAGUGGAUUCCUGAGUCCGAAAGCCACUUCUGCAAUGAUGGUACUGUAAUAUUCUGUACCAAAAAUAUCUUCUUUCUACCGAGAGCCUUGAUUGGGAGCAGAAAAGAAGUGUAAGAGCCAUACUUAACUCUGGAAUAUUAACCACUUUUCUCUGAACUUUUGCGCCCUCUUCUUAAAUUUUAAAUAGAAUCCCAAGGUUGUCAAAUAAGGGACCUGGAGACAGAUGUUGGUCAGGUGGAAACUGUGUUGAUUGCAGCUAUGAAAUGCUCAGCCUUCAGUUAGAGAAAUCAAUUUAAAUAAAUCAUGGGGCAUAAACUGAUCUUUCUGAUGAGUUUUUAAAAAUUGCUUUUUUCACAGUGCCUUCAACUAGUUAAUUUGUAAUUUCCCUGAGGAUUGCAAUAGACAUUCUAUGUGUAAUGAGAUCUGUUUUUAUCACUUAAAAAAAAAAAGCUCUCGGCUUUGUCUGCUGCAUUGCAGUCUUUUAUUCAUUUUAAAUUGAAAACUGGCACAUUAGCAUACUCUGGACACAAAGGAUUACAGACUUUACAGGAGCCCUUUAUUUAAAAGUCAAUUAAGCCCUUCUUCCUAAACAAUUGAGUCCUGCUGCCAUGGAGUGGGGCAGAGCAGGGUGGGUGAGUGCAGGGGUGGAGGGGGGCCACGGGCUCCCAGGGCAGGUCGCAACCAGAGUAAGGUGAGGGGCGCACCCUUGUAGGGGGGAAGAGAGGCAGUGGAGAUGACAGGUUGGUUAUGUAGGGGGAUUGGUCAAAUAAGUAAAUACACAAGGAUGAUGGAAGCCAGGUUUCACACCGUCGGGGAAGCGAAAGGGAAGAAGCCAGAAUGAACCCUGUGGUGUUGGGUUGGAAGGAAAGGUACCGGUGUGAACUCCUGGCUUGCAGUUUGCAUAGGGAGAAAUAGAAAUAAAUAUGGUUGUAAAUGAGUAUGUAUGUGUGGGUAUGCAAAUGGGCCUGGAAGCAGGGACACCCCAGUAGCCAUAAGCCUGCUUAGCACUCAGACCUUGGCUUCUACGUAGCUGGUUCAGCUUCCAGGAACCAGGGCUCUUUGUGGAAAUGACUCAGUCUGGGGCUGGGGCAGGGAAAGUAGGACGUGAACCUGGAACAUUUUGUCACACCAGACAGCAAGGAAGGGCUCUGAGGAUGAUGGGAACCUGCGAGGAGGACCAAGCCAGUUUGAAGGGGUUUCUCCUGGCCAAAUUAGAGACAGUUUGAGCAUCAAAUAAAAGAUAGUAGCAGAUGAUAACCCACUGAAUAAAAUAGGACAUCAUGAGUCCAUCUCCAUAGGAAUACUUAAGUGAGUACACUGAAGGUUUGAAAUUGAUAAUUACAUAGUAUCGAAGCACUCCCUCCCCCGUAACUUCUUAACUACAAAGGGGGAAAGAGUAACUUUGCGGUGGGGAAGCCUGGCAGCCACCACCUCAGUCAGGUGAUCAAAGUGAAAUCACGGACAACCUGAUGGAAUGCACUGAGAAGAAUGUAAAUAGAAUAUCACUUUUUUAUGCCAAAGAUGUAUAACCUGAAUCCAGCCGUCAGGACGGUCAGACACCCUCAAAUUGGGGAAUGUCUUACAGGAUAACUGGCACAUCAUCGUGCAUCAAGGUCACGAAACUCGGGGAAAGACCAUAGAACUGCUUAAACCAAAGGAGCCUGAAGACAAAUGACAACCAGAUGCCAUGUGUGAUUCUGAACUGGAUCUUUCUGUUACAAAGGGUAUCAUUGGGACAACUAGGCAAAAUAGAAUGGGGCCCAGGGAAAGACUGGAAGUAGUGUAGUAACGUGAAAUUUCCUGAUUUUGAUGGUCGUAUUCUGGUUGUAUCAAAAAAUGCUCUUGUUUUCAGGAAAUCCUAAAAUAGAGUGAAGGGAGAUCAGGUUGACAACUUACUUUCUGAUGGUUCAGGAGAAAGGGUUCUUUGGACUGUACUUAAGAUCUUUCUGGAUGUGAUUGUUUCACAACAAAGCAAAUAAAAAACCACAAGAUACCAUCUCACAUUUAUUAGAAUGGCUAAAAUAAAAAUGACAGAUGUCGGGGGACAGGUGUGCCGCAACUGGAACUCUCAUCCGUGGCUUGUGGAAGUAUAAAAUAAGUCUUUAUUAAAAUAGCCAAAUAAUUCUCCUGAGUGCAGGGACCAUCCUGUGCCCCGAUGGCCCCACUCCUAGCUUCCCUGGGCCUACCAUACCUUUUCUGCCCUUCUGUGCCUGGCAAAAUGUUACUUCUUUCUCUAGAGUACACCCAAAAGUUAUCAUAAAGCCUUCAUGAUAAAAACUUUCAGCAAACUUGGGACUAGAAGGUGUGCAUGAGAAGGUUCACUCAGUAGGAUUAGGGUGUCCCAACUCUGCACAUUAUGAAGAAACUGGCUCUGGGCCAGUGCUUGGAAGAUAAUCUCCAAGCUCUUGGCAUAUCCUGCCUGCUAAGAGGGUAUUUUGUUUUGUAUACCUGGAGCCUUGGACCGUCACACCGGAGAGUUUAUGCUAACAUUGUGAUUUAUGAGUGGGGCCUUGGACCAAACUAUUUGAAUUUGACCCCUGGAGGAACUGGAGACUGAGGAAUUAAGGUCAGCUACUUGGUGCUCCAUGCCGCGUGACUGACUCCCAGUGAAACGCUGGAUGCCAAGGCUCCAGGGAGCUUUCCAGGUUGACGACACUCUGUAUGUGCACAUGUUCUCAUUGCUGGGAGAAUUAGGUGCUGCCUGUCGUAUUUCACUGGGAGAAGACAACUGGAAGCUUGCAUCUAGGUUUCUCCUGGACUUUCAGGAGUAGAAUUGAGUAAUUCAUCACAUCCAUACAACUCACAGUGCUCAUCACAAGUGCCCUCCUCAGUCCCAUCACCCAUUUAGCCCACCCCCCACCCACCUCCCCUCCAGCAACCUCAGUUUGUUCUCUAUUGUUAAGAGUCUGUUGUAUGGUUUACCUCUCUCUCUUCUCCCCCCAUGUUCAUCUGUUUUGUUUCUUAAAUUCCACGAGAACUGAUCUCUUUAUUUUUCUUUUUCCCAUCUAGGAAUAUGAUAUCUCUUUCCAUUUGUUACAGGGUAUUUUUGUAUCUUUCAAGAACAUCUUUUAGUUUUUCCACACAUGGGUUUUGGCUUUUCUUGUUAAAUUUAUGCUGUGAUAUUAGUUGUUGUUAGUUUUUUAUCGUUUGUUUUGGCUAUUGCAAAUGGGCUUUUCUCUUUCCCUGAAUCUUGUCACUGUCAACCUGGCACUUUCUGACGAACAUUUAAGUCAUUGUUUUGUUAUUACAAGUAGUGCUGUGAUCAAUAUCCUUAUAACUAUAUCUCUGUGUGUAUUUGUGAAACUUAGAGUAGCAGAUGUAUUUUCCAAAGAUGGCUGCAUCCAAACAUAUCCCAUCCCACAUGGUCUUAUUAAAAUCAGUUUGUCACUGCUCCCCUGGGAGGGAGAUGUGAGGUCUGUGUCCCCUCCCCUUGAGCCUGAGGGGACCGUUGUAACUGCCUGGGCUGCGGUGUAGGGCAGAAAUGACAGCGUGGGACUUCCUGGCUGUUAUAAAAAGCACUGAUGCUUCUGCCAGUCCCAAGGGACUGCCUGCUCUGGGGGGACAGUGACACUCGCAUGGACCCCUGACGAGGGAACAAGGCUCCCGGCCGUCACCCGCUCGGCAGCCAUGGGACGAGCCUCCUUGGGAGGGGAUCCUCCCGCCUGUGGCAAGCCUUCGGGAGAUGCAGCCCCAUCUGGCAUCCGGCUGCCCUCUCAGGAAGGACCCGGAGUCAGAACUGCCCGGCCAAGCCACUCCCAAAUUGUCUGGCCCCAGAAACACUGAUGGAUGGUAGAUGAUUAUUGUUGUUUCGAGGCACUAAGCUUUAGACUGAUUUGUUUCCCCGCCAUUGUCGCUGGAUGCUUAGGAAGGUUGAUGUUAUAGUUACUUUUGAAAAUUCUUUUAGGAAUGUUCGAGAAGAGCAUUUCCUAAACAGCCUUUCUUAGCACCCUGGUCUUUUCCAAAAGCCCCAUGAAAAUGGUCUCUGCAGUCACAGGUUAUUUGGAAAAGACAUCCUUUUUGGAAGUUCAGAAUAUAUUUUAGCAUUAUUAAAGGCUCUAAAAAUCGGUGGCGCUUGGGUGGCUCAGUCGUUAAGCGUCUGCCUUCGGCUCAGGUCAUGAUCCCAGGGUCCUGGGAUCGAGCCCCACAUCGGGCUCCCUGCUCAGCGGGAAGCCUGCUUCUCCCUCUCCCACUCCCCCUGCUUGUGUUCCCUCUCGCUGUGUCUCUCUCUGUCAAAUAAAUAAACAAAAUCUUUAAAAAAUAAUAAUAAUAAAGGCUCUAAAAAGCUGUAGAGUAAAAUACCCAUCUAGCUUUGACUCAGUUUUCUCAGAUUCAUUUGACCAGAAGCCCCUUUUCAUGGAACAUGGUGGGUAGACUCUACUCUUCAUGGAGCAGCUGUUAAGAGCAUGCUUCUGAGGCAGGUUCCUUAAGUCACAUCCCAGCCCAGCCAUUGACUAAGUGUGUGACCUGGGCAAGUUUCCUCACUUCCAUAUACCUCGGUUUCCUCCUCUGUAAGAAGGUCAUUAGUAUCAUUACCUACCUUAUAGGGAUGUAUGGCAUUAAAUAAA